AACUCCUAGAGGAAAGUGGCGAAAGGGGCAGUAAUGUAUGGGUAACCUACCUUGAGGUUCGGGAUAGCCAUUCUAACGGAUGGGUAAUACUGAACGGCCUGAGUUGUCGGCAUCGAUGAUUUAGUAAAGGUUACGCCUCGAGAGGGGCCCAUAUGAUAUUAGCUAGUUGGUGAGGUAAUGGCUCACCAAGGCAAAGAUGUCUAGCGGGUGUGAGAGCACGACCCGCGUCACUGGCACUGAGACACUGGCCAGACUCCUACGGGAGGCUGCAGUCGAGGAUCUUCGGCAAUGGACGCAAGUCUGACCGAGCAACGCCGCGUGUGCGAUGAAGGCCUUCGGGUUGUAAAGCACUGUCGAGGGGAAACAAGCCGUAAGGUUGAGUGACCCCUGGAGGAAGCACGGGCUAAGUUCGUGCCAGCAGCCGCGGUAAGACGAACCGUGCAAACGUUAUUCGGAAUCACUGGGCUUAAAGGGCGCGUAGGCGGGUGAUCAAGUCAAUGGUGAAAUCCUCCAGCUUAACUGGAGAAGUGCCUUUGAUACUGAUUGUCUAGAGGGAGGUAGGGGCAUGUGGAACUUCAGGUGGAGCGGUGAAAUGCGUAGAUAUCUGAAGGAACGCCAGUGGCGAAAGCGAUGUGCUGGACCUCUUCUGACGCUGAGGCGCGAAAGCUAGGGGAUCAAACGGGAUUAGAUACCCCGGUAGUCCUAGCCCUAAACUAUGGGUACUAGAUUGUGGACUUUCAUGGGUUCACAGUCGAAGCAAAAGUGUUAAGUACCCCGCCUGGGGAGUAUGGUCGCAAGGCUGAAACUCAAAGGAAUUGACGGGGCUCACACAAGCGGUGGAGCAUGUGGCUUAAUUCGAGCUACGCGAAAACCUUAUCCUGAAUUGACAUAUGUGAAACGUAGGAAGUAAUUGCCGGAACGGCCAAUGACGGAUCCAGUCCGGACUACACAGUGCUGCAUGGCUGUCGUCAGCUCG
rnacentral:rRNA from 1 species